UCGCAAAACAGGCUGAUUAGGGAACCCUACCUCACCUCGUGGCACAAGCGAUGGUGGCGCCGGCGGCAGCCGCAGCAGAGUCCCCUCACCCUCCUCCCAGCCAACCUGUCUCUUCGUCGUCCUCCCAUUCACUGUCUACUCAUCAGCGACCUGAUGUGCUGAUGGUUUGGGGGGGAGAAGCGGGAUGGGGAAGUUGAGAUGCUGCGCCGCCGGUGAAAUUCUUGCAGGCUCGUGCUUGAGAAGAAUAAGUGUAACAGAUGGAUUCGAAUUUGCCUCCAACGUCUAUGGAUGGCAACGGCGAGCGGACACGCAUCACGAUGUCGUUUCUCUCCAUAAGUUUUGGGCAACUGCUGCUGGUAAGCUCUGCAAUUCUCCUCCGCGAGACUGCAAUUCCCCUUGCCCAACCCUCCCUUGAGCGAACCACCAUGGUAGUGUGACACCACGCCUCCACUCUCCUACGGUAGACAGACAACCUCCUGAUAUUAAAGCACUGAAGUCUGGAUCCCAGUGAAGCGGAGGGGAAGAUACGUCCUGUCUAAAUUGGUACACUCUCGCAUGGUGAUUUAUUCAUGUGAUGUCCUAUGGAAUUGCUAAUUAGUCGCCCAAGAUUUGAGCUCAUUCGUCUUGGCAGUACUUACAUGCUUAAGGUAUAUUUUACUAAGUUCACUAUAUUUUUGGUUCAACUAAUUUCCAUGCAGUCGCACUAUUUUCAUAUGGUUACAAACUAUUCACACCAGUUGUGUACUGCCAUGUGAAUAUUAGUUAUAAUCAAUGCUUAUGCAAAAGCAGUCCUAAGGUGCUUGCUGAAUGGACCUGCAAUUCUCUGAACUGGUUACUGGAGGCUUUGAAGUUAUGUGUGUCUAUAUCUCUUCUAUGGUAUAGAGUGCUUGAGUUUAUAGUGCUGAUUCUGUUCCAAAUAAAGAAGGGUUUUUGUGCACAUCAAUUUUCUGAGAUCAAGUGGAAUUGUUCCAUGUUAUAUGUUCUCAGUGGUACUGCUCAUUACGUAGAUCAAGGUGGAGGUAAGACAAAUGAGUUUUGUCACUCUUCAAUGAAACAUAUUGAUUUUGUAAUUUUCUUUAAAAAAGUCAAUCUUGAAACAACUACAAAGCGGUUAUUUGUGCAUAUCAGUUUUCUGAUAUCAACUGGGAUUGUUCCUAUGUUACAUGUUCUCAGUGGUACUGCUCAUUAUGUAGAUCAAGGUGGAGGCAAUAUAAAUGGUAGGUUUUUGUGUUUUGUCAAUCUUUAAUGAAACUGAAACAUAUUGAUUUCGUAAUUUUCUAAAGAAAAAUCGAUCUUGAAACAACUGUAUGAAGCAGAAAAGGUACAUUCUAUAUUAGCAAAUCAUAUCCAUUGUAGAUUAAAGCAUGAUAUUUUUUUUCUGGUUUGUGCCCCUGACUCAAUAAGUACUGUUAAAUGUGGCGGACACAGCAUCCCUGCUGCUCAGGCUUCCGGCUGGCCGGCGCAGCCUAUUUUCAUUGGUAUUUAGCAAAAAAAUAACACUCUAAGCCUUCGAUUUUACUGUUUGCCUAGGCUUUAAAAUAUUUUUGGGUCCUCUUGUAUUGUGCAUCAAAAUUUCCAGGUGGAUAAUGGAUUAUAUCUGACAUGAUUUCCUGUUGUGUUGGAUUUAAUGCAUUUCUAGGCUAGAUGAACCUACUUGCCAUAUAGAGGGAGAUCUAUUGUCUGGUCUAUGAUAAACGAUAAGGUUCGAACUUCUAAGAAUGUUUCCUUGUUGCAGCACGGAUGUAUAUGACAUGGUGGAAAAAUAAAUAAUAUUUGGUGACACUGCCAUGGAUUUUGUGCCAAGAAAAAACGGAAGUGUUCUUCCUUAGAGAAGGAUAAAUCUUGGAGUUGGAGCGCUUAUCUGGUGCAAGGAAAGGAAUUUGAUGAAACAGUAGGAAAGAGGAACCUAAUGAAGCUUAGUCUUCUGGGAUGGAUCGGACUCAAGGGGCUUACAAAAUCACUCCAGUGUUAGCAAUUAUGCAGUAUGGGUGUAGCAGUCCAAGUAUAUUGAUGGUUAUUUAUUACCUUUGACUGAAGAUGCCUCGGUGAGGGAUUGGACACUUGAACUAUUGUCUGGGUUCUUCCCUUGUACAGGUAACCCUCUUUUUAUGGAUUUAUAUAGUCACGUCUCUAGCUUACUACUGUUAAUUUUGAGAUUUUAAAUAGGGAUCAAAAGCUAUUUUCUUAUACUACCUUGCUGUAGCAUAUAGUACGUGGAAUCAAGAUACUAUUUCUUUUGUGCUUAGAUGUGUUUGCCGGUGAUUUUUUCUGGUAAGACACAAUAUACAACUGAUGAAAGAUUUUUUUAAAAAUUUAGGCAAAGGAAGAUAUUUUACAGGUUUAACUCGGCUCGUAUCUGCCCAGCUUGGAACAAUUAGCUUCGUCGAUCUCUCUCCACUAAAUGAGUUAUGUUGUGGAUUAGAUGUGUUAUCUGAGUCACAAUAUAUGAUAACUGACAAGCAGAAAUUUCUUUUUAGCAUAUCGAAUUUGUAUGUACAUGUGUAGAUUCCUUGAAGCCUUGGAAUUUCUCUCUUCAGUUAAGACCGAGAGUGGGCUAGCUAAUGGGAGCAUUGGCCUUUCUUGCCUGGUUUUACUGACUUGGAGGCUGCCCGUGAAACUAAACUUUUGAAGAUGGAUAUAAGACAAUUCGGAGCAAUUUGGCCCAGAAGUGCUAACAUGAUCAGAAGUGAUGUAGGAAAUAUUUUGUUUUGACAUGAUACAAGAUCCUAUGAACCAUUUUCUUGAGGGAAUUCCACAUGGCAAGAUGUCUACUUUCUUUGGCCUAUUUAUGUUAUCCCAAGAAAAUCUUGUUUUCUUUGGUGGUAUGCCUUUCAGAGGAAGAGCAGCUUGCUACAAACUAGAUUUGGACCAUCGGUCCAGUUCUAGAUUCAGCCAUUAAAGUUAGCUUGGCCUUAGAACAUCAGUACUUAUCUAAUUGUACACCCCUUCUUGAAUUUAGUGUACAUCACUAUUAUGAUUUUUUUCCCUGUGACAUCUUGUUUUGCUUCAGCACAAUCUGUAAAUUGAGGAGCAACUGAAUAAAGAUACACAUGCAUGUUAAUUGUUGUCCAA